UAGGGAAUCUUCCACAAUGGACGCAAGUCUGAUGGAGCAACGCCGCGUGAGUGAAGAAGGCUUUCGGGUCGUAAAACUCUGUUAUUGAAGAAGAACGUGUGUGACAGUAACUGGUCAUGCAGUGACGGUAUUCAAUCAGAAAGUCACGGCUAACUACGUGCCAGCAGCCGCGGUAAUACGUAGGUGGCAAGCGUUGUCCGGAUUUAUUGGGCGUAAAGCGAGUGCAGGCGGUCUUUUAAGUCUGAUGUGAAAGCCUUCGGCUUAACCGAAGAAGGGCAUCGGAAACUGGGAGACUUGAGUGCAGAAGAGGAGAGUG
rnacentral:rRNA from 1 species